rnacentral:rRNA from 1 species
AACGCUGGCGGCGUGCCUAAUACAUGCAAGUCGAACGAGGUGCUUUUGUAGCAAUACAUGCUGACGAGCGGCGGACGGGUGAGUAACGCUUGGGAAUCUGCCUGUUAGUGGGGGACAACCCGGGGAAACUCGGGCUAAUACCGCAUACGCACUACGGUGGAAAGCCGGGGACCGCAAGGCCUGGCGCUAACAGAUGAGCCCAAGUCGGAUUAGCUAGUUGGUAGGGUAACGGCCUACCAAGGCGACGAUCCGUAACUGGUCUGAGAGGACGACCAGUCACACCGGAACUGAGACACGGUCCGGACUCCUACGGGAGGCAGCAGUGGGGAAUCUUGCGCAAUGGGCGAAAGCCUGACGCAGCGACGCCGCGUGAGGGAUGAAGGCCUUCGGGUUGUAAACCUCUUUCAGCAGGGACGAAGCCCUUUGGGUGACGGUACCUGCAGAAGAAGCCCCGGCCAACUACGUGCCAGCAGCCGCGGUAAUACGUAGGGGGCUAGCGUUGUCCGGAUUUAUUGGGCGUAAAGAGCUCGUAGGCGGCCAUCCGCGUCGGAUCUGAAAGCUCGAGGCUCAACCUUGAGAGGCGAUUCGAUACGGGAUGGCUAGAGGUAGCUAGGGGAGAGUGGAAUUCCUGGUGUAGCGGUGAAAUGCGCAGA